rnacentral:lncRNA from 10 species
CGCCAUUGUUCUGCAAUGCGCCCUGCCCCCAACACUGCCAGUGCUUGCAAACUUAGAGGAUUUAAAUUCAUCACUAGUGUUUUGAAAUCCCAGGAUGUGUUCCUGAGACAGUCUUCGUUGUUUUAUUGUCCUGGGCAUUCUGCGUCCUUUCAGUCUGGAGAUUUUUAGCUUCCUUUGCUUCUGAGUCUCUAUUUGCAGUGCCCCGAUGCUAGAAACCUGAGAUCCCAUGGCUUCUCCAGAAUGGAGGCUUGGGCAUUGUCAGCACCCUCCUUCCAAGAGUUGAAAGUUCCUCUCUUCUGGAAGACAAACUGAUGUGAGGAUGAGGAGGAGUCAGAAAUAAACUCAUUCAACUAAUACUUGAGUAGCUACUGUUGCCUACAGUAUGUUCAAGGUUUUGCUAGUCAUCCAUAUGAUCACUAUUGACAGCUUGGGAGACUCACACAGGCUAGUGAAUUUCAGGAAUUAACAGAAACUGAACAGCUUCUAUAAUCCUGCAGGAAGUAACCUCUGGAUGGCACAAUGGAGUCUCACUCUGUUGCCCAGGCUGGAGUGCAAUGGCACAAUCUCAGCUCACCACAAGCUCCGCCUCCUGCGUUCAAGUGAUUCUCCUGCCUUAGCCUUCUGAGUAGCUGGUAUUACAGGUGCCUGCUACCAUGGCCAGCUAAGUUUUGUAUUUUUAGUAGAGACAGGGUUUCACCAUGUUGGCCAGGCUGUUCUCAAACUCCUGACCUCAAGUGAUCUGCCCGCCUAAGCCUCCCAAAGUGCUGGGAUUACAAGCAUGAGCCGCCGCACCCGGCCUCUGCUAAGUUUACAACCUGCAAAUUCUAUCCAAAAUAUAUACAUAUUUUCUUGUAUUUUUCAUUUAAUGCACCAAAAUAAAAAAAAAAUUGUUUUUCAUUUUCUGCUGGUUAUUACUUAGAGGCUAGAUUUAUUUUGUAAACUAUGCCCUAAAUUGUUCCUUUGACUAUUUUUAAGUUUAUCUACCUACUCUGAAGUGUGGAAGGUGAGAGUAAUGAAUUGGCCCAGGUGAAAUCUAAUCAUAGAUAAUAAAGCUGCUGCUAAUAAAAAUGCUCAAGUAACCCUCAAGCUAAGUAAGACUCUGCCCCCAGCAAAAAUAGAACUUUAAAACAUGCUAUGCUACCAUUAAUAGGAAAAAAAAAUGUAAAUUCAUUCAAAAAGUUUAGUAAAGGAAACUUUAAAUAUUUUCUGAAGAACUCAAAAGGAAUAGAAGCAAAUU